rnacentral:lncRNA from 1 species
GACACAUUUCAUUUUCUAAAGCUUUUUUUGGUGUUCUUGUCAUGCUAAUCUUGAUUAAUGAUGCUUGGAAAUGAAAAUGAUCUUCAUAAAAAUAUAGUCCAGGUACAGUUUCUAUCCAGUCACUGAAGGAUUACAGAAUGUACAUUUGCACAUUCAUCAAGGUAAAUUAUGGAGAAUAACCUCCAGGAAUUCAUGUAAUUUUAAAGGAAGAUGAAUGGCAAUAAGACCACAAUAGUGGAGAUCUUUCCCAUCUUGUUCCCAAACAUCUGGAUGCAGGCUUUGGAAGCAGGGUGACAGCAGCUUGGGAAACGAGGGCAGAUUCCCUGAAGGACACUCAAUGGCUCGGGGGUCUGCUCCCAGCACUCAGGUGUCCUUUGGGGUCUGAGUGAAUAUGCAUCUAGAGGUUUCUGAGCUAAGGAAUGUUCCAGCAUCUUCCAAACAGGAACAAUUCAAAUGGAAGAUGUGCAGCUGGACUUCACCUUGCUCAUUGCAGACACUCCCUUUUCCUCCUUGGGGACGGACAGGCCAACUAGAAUGAUGGGUGGAUUUUAUUGGUCCUGUGACCAGUGCCUGGAGCUUAGUUUUGAAAUAUUUAAUUUCCCUUGAAAUUGAAAGUUUUAUUGCAUUUACAAAGAGUGUGUGCAAGACCUCUUCUUUCAUCCGAGGAGAGGCAAGCAAACAGGUAAACUGUUGCUAAACUCUCCUUGUGCCAGGCAUACAUGUGACCACAGAUCCAGGAACUUGGGAGUCU